CAUUGACAAGAUAUUCAAAGUCUGAAAGCUACAGACUAGGAUAAUCUCUAGAAUUCCUUAGAGCUCCACCCAAUCUACAAUUCUGUUGACCAAACAACAUAACCUGGAUUUGUAGGAUAAUUGCCAACUUCCCACUUCACUUUGUAGUUGGAGCAAGCUUUUGAUGAAAAGAAAGGAAAAAAGACUCCGUGUAAAGGAGGGGAAAUUCAGCUGAACUUCAUGAGACCAGCUUAGCUCUUUCAGGGAAAACGCUAAAGAGCCAAAGGAUUGGCUUUCCAUCACUGUUUCCAUCACUGUUUCAUAGGUUGGUGGGAAACCGGUUCCCCUUAGAGGGCCAUCUCUGUCUCUUCUAAAUGACUUUAAUUCCGUUGGUUGCAUGGAAAUAAAACACCAUCUAGGAGCUACUCCGAACUGUACAAACUGAAUUCUGUUAUCUGACCCAACCCCUAAUUUUCAGUCUGUCAGGGUGAUUUUCCUGAGGAAUUGGGACUUCAUCAGGAAGGAAGAACACAGAUUGCAGUGUGAAGGGCGUCCCCGAGAGUUGUACCUGCACAACCAUCUGGCACAGUGGCCCUGGAAAGGAAGUGCAAAUAUAUGUGGAGGAAAAAGAGAAACAAGGAGCCGCCGAAUUUCCACUCAAUGCAGCCCCCCCAGCUUAAAGAAAUAACUGCAGUACAGAUUUUAACAAUUAACAUUCCUGCCGUGGAAGUCGU
rnacentral:lncRNA from 1 species